rnacentral:tRNA from 1 species
GCUGGUGUAGCUCAGAGGCAGAGCAAGUGGCUGUUAACCACUGGGUCGGGAUUUCGAAAUUCUCCACUAGCG